UACGUAGGGUGCAAGCGUUAAUCGGAAUUACUGGGCGUAAAGCGUGCGCAGGCGGCUUUGCAAGACAGAUGUGAAAUCCCCGGGCUUUAACCUGGGAACUGCCAUUUGUGACUGCAUGGCAUGGAGUGCGGCAGCAGGGGGAUGGAAUUCCGCGUGUAGCAGUGAAAUGCGUGAUAUGCGGAGGAACACCGAUGGCGAAGGCGGCGACCUGGUCCGAUACAUGACGCUGAGGCGCGAAAGCGUGGGAGCAACAGGAUU
rnacentral:rRNA from 1 species